rnacentral:rRNA from 1 species
UUUCAGAGAUGAGAAUGUGCCUUCGGGAACCGUGAGACAGGUGCUGCAUGGCUGUCGUCAGCUCGUGUUGUGAAAUGUUGGGUUAAGUCCCGCAACGAGCGCAACCCUUAUCCUUUGUUGCCAGCGAUUAGGUCGGGAACUCAAAGGAGACUGCCAGUGAUAAACUGGAGGAAGGUGGGGAUGACGUCAAGUCAUCAUGGCCCUUACGACCAGGGCUACACACGUGCUACAAUGGCGCAUACAAAGAGAAGCGACCUCGCGAGAGCAAGCGGACCUCAUAAAGUGCGUCGUAGUCCGGAUUGGAGUCUGCAACUCGACUCCAUGAAGUCGGAAUCGCUAGUAAUCGUGGAUCAGAAUGCCACGGUGAAUACGUUCCCGGGCCUUGUACACACCGCCCGUCACACCAUGGGAGUGGGUUGCAAAAGAAGUAGGUAGCUUAACCUUCGGGAGGGCGCUUACCACUUUGUGAUUCAUGACUGGGGUGAAGUCGUAACAAGGUAACCGUAGGGGAACCUGCGGUUGGAUCACCUCCUUACCUUAAAGAA